UUUGCCAGCAAUGGCAUCUCCUCCCAGAGAGUCCUGGGGUGGGCUGGAGACCAACAGGUCCACAUUCUGGAUCCCUGGGGUUUGUUGAGGGAACAGGACACCUGUCUCCAACCUCCUCUCCCAUGCUCACCUCUUCUGGCUGUGGUAACAGAGAAAAUACAUCUGAAUGGAAGACAAGGUGGCUCUGCAGGCAGGUAGCUCAGUGUUCCUUCCAGCCUGGUCCUUCAUUCAAGGCCAAAGGUUCCUGAGCCCUCCUACAAGCCUGGAGAGAAAUCCCGCCCAGGGUGGACCUGCUGACAUCCUAGAACCUGUGUGGCUAGGCUUGCGGAGGGAGGCAGGCCAUCGGUUGGCUUCCUCUCAGGUGUCUGCCAGGAUGCCGGUUAGGAGGGGCAGUCUGAAGGAGCCGUGCCUGUCUUCCCCUGCAGUGCUGUAGACUCCCGAGACCAUAUUUGUCUGGGCAAACAUCUGUACUAGACCCCUCACCUGCCAACCUUAUAGCAUCCAAGACCAACUAGCAAGAAGUGCCACCACCACCUCUGGGGUGGCCAUUGUGUUAGUCGGGGUUCUCUUAAAGUCACAGAACUUAUUAAAUGAAUCUCACUCUCCCUUCUCUUUCCCUCUUCCCCCCUUUCUCUAAUACACAUAUAUAUGAAAUUGAAUUCAUUGGAAUGACUUACCAGCUGCAGUCCAACAAUGGCUAGUUAUGAAUGGAAGUCUAAGAAUCUAGUGCCUGCUCAACCCCACCAGGCUGGGUGUCUCAGCUGGUCUGCUGGGAUCCGAGGAAGGGAUGAAUGGGCUGAAGAGAUGAGGACAAGCAGUGCCAGGUGUUGCUUUAGGAUAAACUGAAAACUCAGGCCUACUUGAGCCUUGGCAUGACAGCAGCAUGGUGAAGCUGCAGGUGAGCAACAAGUUGGCCUGAAACCAGAGCCAACUCUCCCCCUGACCAACUGAACAAGAAACCAACCAGUUCCUGAGCAGGAAAACCAACCAGUCCGUGAGCAGGAAAUCUUCUCUCUGGGAACACUCCACCCCUAAGAAGCCAUACAUAAGCCCCUGUACCUGCUCAGUUGCUGGCUGUCCGAUUCUACCCUAGCAGAGGCAGCCACUCUCUUGGAUUCCUCCUUCCCAAAUAAAUCUCUUUCUUAAAGAGUUUUGGGUUAAGAUCUUCUUUUGCCAGCGUGGAGCAGAAGAACCUUUGCUGAGACAUUCCCUUGGGGGUGGGGGCUGAGUCGAAAAGCCAGAAGAAACAGUUACCUCUGCUGGGAAACCCCCUUGUGGGUAGAGCAGAAAAACUAACUUUUCCAAGGAGCCAGAGGAGAUGGCUACAUUACUGCAGGGGUUUCUGCUUUAGCAGAGUGAAGUAGAAGAAGUAAUAUUUUGGGCCAGAGGUGAGCAGAGCAGAAGAAAGGGUAGCUCUGCUAUCAAGUUCCUUUAGAAGAACGGAGCAGAGCUCAGCUGUGAUGAAGAGAGGAGCAGGAUUGCUACAACCUGCAAGGAGACCAUCCCACCAACCCCACCCGGCUUCAGGGGAUCUUACACCUUCACACAGACAAAACAUGAAUCCAGGGGCUGGAGAGAUGGCUCAGAG